UAUGCUCUUACCAUUAGAAGAGCUGGAAGAAGGCUGAGGGAGAUGCCUUCUUCCAGCCCUUCUAAUGGUAGGAGCAU
ensembl:miRNA MIR6512 microRNA 6512